rfam:Spinacia oleracea cultivar SynViroflay scaffold24010.con0002.1, whole genome shotgun sequence.
UGCGAUGAUGAUUGAAUAUAAUCUCGUUAAUCCGAGUUAUUAAGCUGCGGAUAUUUUUCAAUUCCAUUCUUAAUUACCUCUGAGC